GCCCUGGUGGCUCAUCGGUCUAAGCGCGCACACCAGUAAGGUGGUGACCUGGGUUCGAUUCCAGCUUGGGGCA